rnacentral:rRNA from 1 species
GUUCGGAAUCACUGGGCGUAAAGGGCGCGUAGGCGGCCCGCACAAGUCUGCGGUGAAAACCCCCGGCUUAACCGGGGGCCGGCCGUGGAAACUGUCGGGCUAGAGGCCGGGAGAGGGCAGCGGAAUUCCCGGUGUAGCGGUGAAAUGCGCAGAUAUCAGGGGGAACACCAAUUGCGAAGGCAGCUCGCUGGGACGUUACUGACGCUGAGACGCGAAAGCGUGGGGAGCAAACAGG